CCUAAAUCAUAUGUUUAUUUGGUAAAGGGAUCUACAGUACUGACCAAAAUUACCUAUACGCGUAUUUCUUGACUUGUUUUUAUAGACCCUUGAUUGUCAUAUUAUUAACUUAAAUUCGUGUAGGACGAUGGUCGUGGGGGCUAAGGUGUAGGCUAUGGAUCCACUCCGUCGCCUUGCGGGUUCGAUUCCCGCCUCGCACUCUGGAAGAUCCUCAAGCACCUAAUUUCUGUAUUCUUGUUUAGUGUAAGGUCCUCGAAAAAACGGACAAUCGCUUGUCGCCAGUAAAAAAGUUAAAAUUAUUUGUAAAAACUAUCAUUACAUAAUCAGAAAAACUAUUAAGUUUGAAUCAAUAAAAAAGUACUCACUGUAUAAAAUAUUUCAAACCUUAGUCUCGCCGAAUUGAUAAGUAUCUUCUGACUUAAACCACUUGAACUCACACACAAGCUCAUCAGUCAUCAUUUCUUUUAAUGCGUAACUUAGAAAAUCACGAGGCUUUAAACCUCCCAAAAGUAUUAAAUGACGGUACUAAAAGAAAAUAGUAAGUGAAAAAAUUGUUCUUGUUUAACGAAAAACAAUAUACGCACACCUGGACAAAAAACUCACGAGUUUCUUAAGCAUAGCUUUGUUUUCUUCUAAGGCUUCAAAAUCUUCUAGUGUACGCAACCGACAUCCCUUCAAAGGUUCAUAUAGUCAAUUUUCAGCUACUGUUUUCCCUCCUCUGUUUAAAAUAGAUAAAGUCGGUUAAAUAAGAGCGUGGUCACUGUUGUGAGAAAACGAAAAGACUCAAUACGAAAAUUCUUUCAAAUGUUGUUUUAUUUGAUCGAAAACUUUCAUUCAAAUACAUUAUUAGCAGGUACAAUCACCUUCAGCGUCAAUAAUGGCUUGGCAUCUUCGAGGCAUACUUUGGACAGAACCGCGAUAUUAGAAGUCAUCGACAUUUUUCACCUCUUUGAAACGAUUCACCCAUUUACUCACAAACUGUUUCAACUUUUGCAUAACUGCUUCGAAACGCGAAGCGUGUGCGGCACUCAUUUUGCAAAAAUGCUCGGUUCGUAUUGAAAAAAAAUAGUCAGCUGAUUCUCUUUCAUUAACCAUGAAGGACUAUACUGACCUUUAUGUGAAAAAAAAUUACAGCAUUCACAUUUACCGAUCGCUGGUAAUUGUGACCACGCUCUUAUUUAACCGACUGUAUUUGAUCAAGUAUUUUUUGAUUUUGCUGCACUAGUUUUUCGUUUUGAUCAUGCAGAAUCCUGCAAAGGAAAAUUACACAUAAAAAUAUAAUUUUCAGGUAUAAUUACAUUUUUUAUAGGUAUAAAAAAUUAUUUGUAUAUUUUACUCACACUAUCUAGUUUUUUAAUUCACUGGCUGUAUCAAUAUCUAUAAUUUCAAGAAUGGGCUCAGGUUCUUCUGUGACCACUUUCGUAGAAGAGUUAAGCACAGAGAGAGGAUUGCUAACUCAGGAAAAAGGUUUCUCAAGGGUCUCUGAGUGUGGUGCAGUAAUAUCUUUUCUAAAGAACAAUGUGUGUACUGUAUUAAUAUUAAAAGCAUUCAAUUUUUCAGAAUAUCAGGCAUCGUAGCGGUUCGUUAGUUCAAUUUUAGGUAGAAAAGAAGGAUGUUUUUCUAAAAAACAGGGAUGAAAAGAGGAUUUAAUUUAUUUUUGCAUGAAAGUUCUUUAUAAAUAGCAGUAUUUUGUCUUAGCAACUUUUCCGUAAGCAUUUUGGUUGAAAAAAUUUUAUCUAGCUUUAAAAAAUGGAGCUUUAUAUAAAUUUAUGGGAUCAAAAGUUAUAAUGAAGGAAACAUACCGAACUCUAUUUUGCUCCUCAAAAUACAUUAAAUUAUCGUUUUCACUUUCUUUCAUCUGAUUAAAAUCAAUUUUUGAAGCUUCGAAUGCACUACUAAGUUUCUUUGGUUUCGAUGAUGAGAUAACAUUCUGUGCCCUGGAUCUUUUUGACUGACUUUGUAACGGAAACUGCUUUGAUUGAAUAACAUUUAGAGUAACCUGUCGCUUUUCAAUUUGAUCGUUUACAGAGAUCGAAUGAUUAAGCGACAAUUUAUUUUUUCUAUGAGCCUCUGCAGACGAUGUUGUAAGUAGAUUCUUCGGAGUAUUUAUCGACCUCCCACUGCUUGACAGUCGAAUACUUCUUUUAACUUUGGUUAAAUUUGUCUUUAUUCCCUCCAUGCCCAAGAUAUCUGCAAUCAAAGAAAUUUAACGUUGGUGACAAACAACUGAUUAAGCUAAAGCUGGAGACUCGGGUUGUUGUGAAAUAAUAAUCUGUGCUUUUGAAAAAGGAGUAGGAGUGAGAUCACUAAGUUGACUAGAACUUGAAGCUGCCAUUUCCAGUGGCAGUGAAGGUAAUCUUGUUAGUUCUGACUGUCCAGAUGUUGAAGGUGUUGGUUAUAGCAUUUACGAAGAUGGAAGCAAUGACGCCGACUCUGAAUAUUGACUUUCUGCAACAUUGGUCAUGUCCAAUAAAAUCUGAACCGCUAAAGAUUUUUCUGUUAAAAGGGUAAAUGUCGGUUCAGCGAAAGCCAAAAAUGCCAAUAUCCAUUCGAGAAACUUUAGUAAAAGCAGAAGUAACUAACCCUGCAAUCUCGUAAUCAGUGAUUCUUAUACCAGGCAAAUUCAAUGACAUUCAAGUCUUUAUGGGUGGCAUAUCCAGCAAGAAUCAGAAGAACUGGAUCCUUUUCUGUGGGAUUUGAAUACUUCACGAAGUGUUUCACAAAAUUUUUUAAAUAAUUCGGCAUUCAUCCAGUCAUUUGGGUGAACUUCCUCUACACUUUCAUUCGGUGCACCGUGCAUAAGUUGAUUAUUUAUUCGGGAAUGUCGGAACACGGAGAAAGGUGGUCCUGCAGAUGAGCUGAAAUUAAAAUUUUGCAUUGAACUCGUUAGGCUUUCAAAAAACCGUUUUAUUUGAGGUCGAUUACAACCGACUGUCCUCAUUAAGAUGGUGGAUUCAGCGGUCCGCACUGACAAAUCGCAAGUUGAAAGUAUGAUUUGAGAAAUUCUAGUUUGAUUAAAGGCCUAUUGGCCAAAUCUUUGAGCUGAUCAGCCAAUAUUUCUUAAUAUUCGGAUGAGACAGUUCUGUGAAAAUGUCCCAUUACUGGUUUAAAAGUGAUCUGCUUAUUUUUUUAAAUGCACUGAUUCUUACAUUCAGUGUAGUUCUAGGUACCUGAUAACGAUCUGCGGCUUGAAGGCUCUUUUACACCUUCCGUCUGUUGGUCGAGGAACGACCGACUGAUCGAAAGAAUUUGAAUAGCAGUGCAAUCGAAUAUCUAAUUCGUAAAUGUCCUAAAAACAGUCGCAACUUGCAAGUGUCAAACAUCGUGCUUGAUUAAAUACUUGUCUAUUUAAUAACAAAUCGUGUAGAAUUUUGUAAAACAAGUCAUGGAUGUAAAUGAUGUUUUUUCUUCCUCCGGUGAAAGUUCCGACGAAGAAUUAUUGGCACUGUGGUUCUUAAGACGAAGAUGAAGAAGACGUGCAGAAAGAAGAUUUCGGGUCCACCCUCUUUGGAAAUGACGACUAGAACAAGGUGCUCAUAAUAAUCUCUACAUUGAAAUGGUUGCGAUUGAUCCGGCUAUGUUUAGAGGAUCUAUUAGAAUGACCGUUGUCGAAUAAAAUUCCUCCUUCUGAAAGUGUGUUUGAAGUUGAUAAGUGCUCUUACAAAACACGACGUCGUCACUACGUCGCAGAAACUGAUGACCACACUAAGGUAUCUUGCCAACGGAGAGAGUUUCGUGGCUCUGCCAGGUCAGGUUCGCAUUGGUGUGGCACAACUGAUGGCUUCAUUCCCAAAGUUUUAAAAUUCAUUUGGGAGACACUACAACCGACUGUGCCAAAAAUGCCGAGCAAUUCCAGCGAUUGCCAAAAAAUCAUCGACGUUUAUUACAGAAAAUGGCAGUUUCCUCAUUACUGGGGAGCUCUAGUUGGAAAGCAAAUUGUCAUGGAGGUCAUGCUUAAAUUUAUCUAAAUAAAUAAAAAGAAGAACAAACGUCAAAACAAAAUAAAUUAACGAUUUUUCAUGCAUAAAGAAGUAUUGCAACAUCGUUGUUGGUUCUAGUGGCCUGAAUAAUACAUUGAACUAUGUCAAUCUGUUUGCGUAAUAAAAUCUCUGUUUUCACGAAAGUA